rfam:Takifugu rubripes chromosome, Chr_7
GAAAAGGUUUUUUUUAAAACCAAAAAAAUACAGCAGAAAAGUAAU